rnacentral:rRNA from 1 species
AUGCAGUCGAACGGUUCAAGAGGCCAGAGGCCAGAGGCCAGAAGCAAGACAAGAAGAAAUUGGCUUAAGCCAAUUUCGACAAAAGAACUUGCAUCUAGCUUCUUGCCUCUUGCUUCUUGAACAGUGGCGGACGGGUGAGUAACGCGUGGGCAACCUACCCUUUAGACUGGGAUAACACCGGGAAACUGGUGCUAAUACCGGAUAAACUCUUUAAUAGGCAUCUAUCGAAGAGAAAAGGCGGUGCAAACUGACCGCUAAAGGAUGGGCCCGCGUUCCAUUAGCUAGUAGGUAGAGUAACAGCCUACCUAGGCGAAGAUGGAUAGCCGGCCUGAGAGGGUGGCCGGCCACACUGGGACUGAGACACGGCCCAGACUCCUACGGGAGGCAGCAGUGGGGAAUUUUGCGCAAUGGGGGAAACCCUGACGCAGCAACGCCGCGUGAGUGACGAAGGCCUUCGGGUCGUAAAACUCUGUCAUUGGGGACGAAGACCUAGUCAAGAAACGGGCUAGGAUGACGGUACCCGAUGAGGAAGCCCCGGCUAACUACGUGCCAGCAGCCGCGGUAACACGUAGGGGGCGAGCGUUGUCCGGAAUUAUUGGGCGUAAAGGGCGUGUAGGCGGCUGACUAAGUCAGCGGUGAAAAUCCGGGGCUCAACCCUGGAACUGCCGCUGAAACUGGUCAACUUGAGGGCAGGAGAGGUAAGCGGAAUUCCUAGUGUAGCGGUGAAAUGCGUAGAUAUUAGGAAGAACACCAGUGGCGAAAGCGGCUUACUGGCCUGAC